GGAAGGAAACUAUAAAGAUAAUUAUUAAAACCCAUUCCUACACACACACCAACUCUUUGCUCUCUCUCUAAGAACACCGAAGCUGGUAGCUUCUCCGGCCGGGAAACCGGCAAAACCGACAACGACAAGCAACGGCCGGCCACCGUGGCGGUGGUCCGGCGAGCGAGCUCCGAUGGCGGCGGAGAUGAUUUUUUUCCGCAGCGGUUAAACGGUACCCCCUAAACCACCAGGCCCUGAGCACAAUUCCGAUGGCGUUAUUUCGAUUAAGCAGCGAUCAGUGAGCUUACGAGGGACGGCGGCACAUCUCCACCUCCGACGAACACAGUUUACUGGGUGAUGCCGACAACGGUGAUGGUGGCUGAGGUGGUGACGGCGCGGUGGUGCGGCACGGACCGGCAACCCACUCCGCGACGGUGGCUCCGGCUACAGUAGCGGCAGUGGUGGUUAUUUUAUUUUUGUUUCAAGUUGCCAUGGUUUGGUUCAAGUUCAGUCAGAUGUCGGUUUGGGUGAUUCAUGUUCAGAUUCGGUUCUAAUUUAGUUCGGGUUCACGUCAGUUGUGGUUCGGCUUCGUGAAACGGGUCGACUCGGUACAACUCGGCUCGACCCGGUCAACUCACUAGUUGACUCAGUCAACACCUGGUCAACACCGGUCAAAAUGCAGUCAACUCAAAGACCCGGAAUGUCAUAGUUGCACGCUAG
rnacentral:lncRNA from 1 species